GGUGCGAUGGCCGAGCGGGUGAGUGGGAUUCAAUUCCUCCAUUAACGCUUACUAACGGUCAUCAUAGUCUAAGGCGCUAGCUUAAGGUAUUCUUCAAGAUACAUAUCGCUAGUCCGAAAGGGCGUGGGUUCAAAUCCCACUCGCAUCA